GCCGGGCGUGGUGGCUCACGCCUGUAAUCCUAGCACUUUGGGAGGCCAAGGUGGGUGGAUCACCUGAGGUCAGGGGUUCAAGACCAGCCUGGCCAUCAUGGUGAAACCCCAUCUUUA
ensembl:misc_RNA Metazoa_SRP Metazoan signal recognition particle RNA